AUUGAACGCUGGCGGCAGGCCUAACACAUGCACGUCGAGCGGAGCUUCGGCCGGGUGUGUAAUGCCUAGUAAUCUGCCUGGUAGUGGGGGAUAACGUCCGGAAACGGGCGCUCAUACCGCAUACUAUCAGAUGAGCCUAGGUCGGAUUAGCUAGUUGGUGGGGUAAAGGCCUACCAAGGCGACUAUCCGUAACUGGUCUGAGAGGAGGAUAAGUCAAACUGGAACUGAGACACGGUCCAGACUCCUACGGGAGGCAGCAGUGGGGAAUAUUGGACAAUGGGCGAAAGCCUGAUCCAGCCAUGCCGCGUGUGUGAAGAAGGUCUUCGGAUUGUAAAGCACUUUAAGUUGGGAGGCGUUACCAACAGAAUAAGCACCGGCUAACUUCGUGCCAGCCGCCGCGGUAAUAC
rnacentral:rRNA from 1 species